UUCGUCCCCAUCCCCACGCACGGACGAAUCCAAUCUCAAUCCCCUCGCAUAGCCGCCGCCGCCGCCACCCUCCUCUCGCUCCUGCCGCAGGGAUCCGGCCGGCCACCAGUACUGCAGGCCCUCCACCGCGGCGCGCCGAGUCGGCGGAAGCCUCCGCUUCCCAGGCGCCCCCUAACCUGCCGCCGACGACAAAGGAUCGAUCUCUCCACCGUACGCCGGAAGCCAUACUGCCUCUGGCUGCGCAGUUCCCUCCUGUUUACUCGAGCGGUUUCCCCUCCGACGUCCAUCGCCCGUACUACCUCGCCGCCGGCGAGCUUCCCGCCGACUACAGGUGUUUACGCCAAAAAUACCUUUCCCCCUUCACUGAAAAUAUAAUCCCGCCACUUUUCCAAAUUUGCGGCCCUUGGCAGCCUAUGACCCCCACCAGUCAAUCAUGAAAAAAAAAUCCAGCCCCCACGAUCUUAUCCCGCACGUAACAAUCGCUCCACCCCCGUAUUCUCCUGCUCCUAUCCCCUCCACAAUUCUUGCCACCACCAGAUCGGAGCUCCUCCGAUCCACCCGGCCCAGCCAGGUUGAACGCCGCCCCGUUCUCAUCUGCGGGAUCCCGGUUGCCGCCUCACCCACGACCCUCUCCUCCGCGGCCCAGUCUGCUCGAACGGCGCCGCCCUCCUCACUGGCGGGAUCGGAGCCGCCAGCCUCACCCGCGGGAUCGGAGCCGCCGGCCACAGCCCACCUCGCCUGAAGGAUCGGAUACCACUACUCUUCUACACCGACCCAUCACCGGCCACCGGUGGUGCAUCACCUGCUUCGCCUUACUGUGUCGUUUCGAAGAAGUUGUGGGUGGAAAUUCCCGAACCGCUGCGCCGACGGUGGUGUGAUGCCGGCGAUGGGUCCGCUGGCAAUUCGAUAUGCGAGGAUGUCGCUGCCAACUCGGGAGCGAAAAUGGAACAUAUAUCAAUCUUGUAAUGGAUGUUCGGGAUGCUUUUGAGGGAAAUGAUUUGGUGAAAUAUUGAUUGCGAGGGUUUGGAACCAAGUGACAGCAAAAAAAAUGAAGCAAAGCUGAAGGAUCUUGUUCCUUGUGUUCUCCUGUCAAUUGACAAUGAGCAGAUAUUAAUCUACAGAGGCAGUGAAUGGAACUCUAGAUACUCAGCCUCCCACUAUCACUCCAAAAGUUCAAAAGAAUAAUCUGGCAGUGUCAACUGCUUUGAGUAACUCAGGAUGGGUGGUUAGAAGAGCUGGAAGGGAAGGCGCAAGAAUAUGAUAAGAAGGAUGUUGCACAACAAGAGAAGAUAAAGGAGCUCUAGAUUGUUGUAGAGAAGAUUAUGAGUUUUUACUGGCGGCCGUUAGAAGCUGUAUAGAAGAUGAUGCAUUUUUAUUAGAUUCAAGUGAGAUUAUUCAAAUUUGCAUAAAAAAGUUGUAUAGAAGUUGAUGCAUUUUUAUUAGAUUCAAGUGAGAUUA